GCUUCGGUGGCCGAGUGAUUAAAGCGGCAGCCUAAAAUACAGGAGGUCGUAGGUUCGAUCCCUGGUCGAGUCA